rnacentral:lncRNA from 1 species
AUGAUAUCUACUGCCUGGCUAGCAAGCUGUGUUACCUUCAUGGCUUGCAUCCUAUGUGCCCUUGAUGAGCUACAGCACCAAGUGCCACAGGGAAUGCAUGCUUGUGUUUUGAAAAAUCCAACCCUAGAGCCCACUAAAAAAGCACGUAUCAAAUGGCUGAGUAGCUGGAAGACCUUAGAGCCAGAAGUUUCAGGAGGGGAUAAGCACCUAAGGAGAAGGGAAAACAGUCAGCAGAUAGAGUCAGAUAUUACUGAGAGGACCAUGUUCCCAAGAAUACGUUUGGAGGACAGAAUUGAGGAGACUUCACAGGAGUGUAUACACUAUUCCUACCACAGAACAGGAGGUUUAUCUGCUGGUUUUGGUGCUGCACAAAGAAAUUCAAACAAUACAGUGCAUUCAGGACAUUCCAUAAAAUAAUGAAGAGCACUAGAUUAUUUCAGUAAUUGAGAACAAAAUUAUUAAGGUGAAUUUUUGUCCCCUAU